rnacentral:rRNA from 1 species
UACGUAGGGGGGCAAGCGUUGUCCGGAAUUACUGGGCGUAAAAGGCGCGUAGGCGGCCAACUAAGUCAGACGUGAAAUCCCUCGGCUCAACCGGGGAACUGCGUCUGAUACUGGAUGGCUUGAAUUCGGGAGAGGGAUGCGGAAUUCCAGGUGUAGCGGUGAAAUGCGUAGAUAUCUGGAGGAACACCGGUGGCGAAGGCGGCAUCCUGGACCGAGAUUGACGCUGAUGCGCGAAAGCCAGGGGAGCAAACGGG